GACAGAGGCCUCAAGCGUUAGGCGGAAUCACUGGGCUUAAAGCGUGUGUAGGCGGAUCGUUAAGUGUCUUGUGAAAUCCCACGGCUCACCCGUGGAACUGCUGGGCAUACUGGCGAUCUUGGGCCAACUAGGGGCAACUGGAACAAGCGGUGGAGCGGUGAAAUGCGUAGAUAUCGCUUGGAACGCCAAAGGUGAAAACAGGUCGCUGGGGUUGUGCCGACGCUGAGACACGAAAGCCAGGGGAGCAAACGGG
rnacentral:rRNA from 1 species